GCCGGCCGACACUUGCAGAGGGCACCGUUAACGGAGGACACUGUUGUUUCUCCAUUUUAUCUCCUUCUCUCUCGGUGUCUUUUCCCGCGGUCUCUGCUGCAGACUCUAGGUUAUUUCCUAUCCCGUGCGCCGGGCGGCCAGGACAGCGCGAGACAGCGCUAGAGAUCAAAGGGGAAAGGUGUUCCGCUACCUGAGUGAUUUCUUUUCGAUAGGAAAAGCGCCUUUUGGACGACAAAGCACCAAGCUUUGACGAGUUCCACUUUAAAUUAGUUGUUGGUGUCCGUGGUAGAGACAAGUUGGUCGGUUAGUGUGUCCUCAGAAGCGGCACUUCGCUCAUUCCUUUCACGUGCGCGUUGUUCCGAGAGCCCCGCGCGCCGUGUUGCCUUGGACAGAGUACGCUCGAGCGCUCGUGCUUUGCGGAACAAGACAGAACAAACUGGCGUUAGAAUUAAUCCAACAGGAAUAAACCUUUAGAAACAGAAGUGAAGUACAGUGAAAAGGACGGUGCUCGGCGAAUGCGCUUUUUCUAGUUUUGCUUUAGUUUUUAUUUUUAUUUAUAUUUAUUUAAUUAUUUAUUGUCAUUUGCACCUAGAACCAAACUAGUGGUCGAAGUUUUGUAGGAAAAGUGGAAGAAAACUACACGACUGGAAGUGCAAGAUCUUCCAUACAAGGACGAACAGAAGCACAGAAGAGGAUGGCACAACUUGGGAAUAGACCUGUUUCAUUUUACUGCUAAACCACUCAACAAGUUGUUGAAGCAAAAACGACAAAAACCCACUCCACAAUUUGAACACGUGCAGCAACCAGUGAUUGGGGUCGAUAACAAACAAGCUGGAAAUAAG
rnacentral:lncRNA from 1 species